UCCGGAAAGACAAUGAUGUUAUAAUUCCAAGCACAUAUCAGAGGAUAUUUAAUCAGUAUGUUGAUAUCUGUCAACUGAGUCUUUCCUUA